rnacentral:rRNA from 1 species
CAGCCGCCGCGGUAAUACGUAGGGUGCGAGCGUUAAUCGGAAUUACUGGGCGUAAAGCGUGCGCAGGCGGUUUUGUAAGACAGAGGUGAAAUCCCCGGGCUCAACCUGGGAACUGCCUUUGUGACUGCAAGGCUAGAGUACGGCAGAGGGGGAUGGAAUUCCGCGUGUAGCAGUGAAAUGCGUAGAUAUGCGGAGGAACACCGAUGGCGAAGGCAAUCCCCUGGGCCUGUACUGACGCUCAUGCACGAAAGCGUGGGGAGCAAACAGGAUUAGAUACCCCAGUAGUCCCUGUCUCUUAUAA